rnacentral:rRNA from 1 species
UGCAAGUCGAACGGUGAACACGGAGCUUGCUCUGUGGGAUCAGUGGCGAACGGGUGAGUAACACGUGAGCAACCUGCCCCUGACUCUGGGAUAAGCGCUGGAAACGGCGUCUAAUACUGGAUAUGUGACGUGAUCGCAUGGUCUGCGUCUGGAAAGAAUUUCGGUUGGGGAUGGGCUCGCGGCCUAUCAGCUUGUUGGUGAGGUAAUGGCUCACCAAGGCGUCGACGGGUAGCCGGCCUGAGAGGGUGACCGGCCACACUGGGACUGAGACACGGCCCAGACUCCUACGGGAGGCAGCAGUGGGGAAUAUUGCACAAUGGGCGCAAGCCUGAUGCAGCAACGCCGCGUGAGGGAUGACGGCCUUCGGGUUGUAAACCUCUUUUAGCAGGGAAGAAGCGAAAGUGACGGUACCUGCAGAAAAAGCGCCGGCUAACUACGUGCCAGCAGCCGCGGUAAUACGUAGGGCGCAAGCGUUAUCCGGAAUUAUUGGGCGUAAAGAGCUCGUAGGCGGUUUGUCGCGUCUGCUGUGAAAUCCGGAGGCUCAACCUCCGGCCUGCAGUGGGUACGGGCAGACUAGAGUGCGGUAGGGGAGAUUGGAAUUCCUGGUGUAGCGGUGGAAUGCGCAGAUAUCAGGAGGAACACCGAUGGCGAAGGCAGAUCUCUGGGCCGUAACUGACGCUGAGGAGCGAAAGGGUGGGGAGCAAACAGGCUUAGAUACCCUGGUAGUCCACCCCGUAAACGUUGGGAACUAGUUGUGGGGUCCAUUCCACGGAUUCCGUGACGCAGCUAACGCAUUAAGUUCCCCGCCUGGGGAGUACGGCCGCAAGGCUAAAACUCAAAGGAAUUGACGGGGACCCGCACAAGCGGCGGAGCAUGCGGAUUAAUUCGAUGCAACGCGAAGAACCUUACCAAGGCUUGACAUAUACGAGAACGGGCCAGAAAUGGUCAACUCUUUGGACACUCGUAAACA